rnacentral:rRNA from 1 species
AGCGAACGCUGGCGGCAUGCUUAACACAUGCAAGUCGCGCGGGUGGUUUCGGCCAUCAGCGGCGGACGGGUGAGUAUCGCGUAGGAAUGUAUCCCGAGGUGGGGGACAACCCUGGGAAACUGGGGCUAAUACCGCAUGGGGCCUGUGGGUCAAAGCCUUAGGGCGCCUUGGGAGCAGCCUGCGUCCGAUUAGGUAGUUGGUGAGGUAAAGGCCUACCAAGCCUGCGAUCGGUAGCUGGUCUGAGAGGACGAUCAGCCACACUGGGACUGAGACACGGCCCAGACUCCUAUGGGAGGCAGCAGUGGGGAAUAUUGGACAAUGGGCGCAAGCCUGAUCCAGCAAUGCCGCGUGGGUGAAGAAGGUCUUCGGAUUGUAAAGCCCUUUCGGCGGGGACGAUGAUGACGGUACCCGCAGAAGAAGCCCCGGCUAACUUCGUG